GGGAUAGCUCAGUCGGCAGAGCACGAGACUCUUCAUCUCAGGGUUGUCGGUUUGAGCCCCACUUUGGAUG
rnacentral:tRNA from 1 species